AGCCGAAACGCGGGCGAAGCCCGUGUCUGUCGGAGAUGGCCACCCGACACUGAUGAGGCAGGCCAAC
rnacentral:hammerhead_ribozyme from 1 species